rnacentral:lncRNA from 1 species
GGUCUUGCUGGAGUGCAGUCCCAGGCUGAAGAGAACCUCUCACCUCAGCUCCCAGAAUUGCUAGGACUACAGCGUCCACUGAACUCUCUGCAUUCACUGGAAAGGAGAUAUUUUUCACAGCAGAGCCUUAAUGAAAUCCAAAACAAGAUGAGUCUCAACCAAGGCAACCAAGGAGACCUGAUUACAGGGGACCUGUGAACUUCAUGUUAGAGAAAGAUAAGGAAAUACUGAAAAUGAUUUGUAAUUUUUCUCUUUAUUUUAAAUAUUUAUUAAGAUGAAUUGAAUACAAUACUCCAUUGCUGUUUAAAUCAAUGUUAAUGUUCUUUAACAAUUCACUGACAUGUACUUUCCAUACGUAAUAUACCAGAAAACAAC